rnacentral:snRNA from 1 species
GUGCUUGCCUUGGCAGCACAUAUACUAAAACUGGAACAAUACAGAGAAGACAAGCAUGGCCUCUGUGCAAGGAUGACACACA